ensembl:miRNA mdo-mir-759 mdo-mir-759
GGAUUAUAAUAAAUUAAAUACCUAAACUGGCAGAGUGCAAACCAUUUUGACUUAGAUCUAAAUGUUUGCAUUGGCUGUUUAAACAUUUAAUUUGUUGG